rnacentral:rRNA from 1 species
GACAGAGGAUGCAAGCGUUAUCCGGAAUGAUUGGGCGUAAAGCGUCUGUAGGUGGCUUUUCAAGUCCGCCGUCAAAUCCCAGGGCUCAACCCUGGACAGGCGGUGGAAACUACCAAGCUGGAGUACGGUAGGGGCAGAGGGAAUUUCCGGUGGAGCGGUGAAAUGCAUUGAGAUCGGAAAGAACACCAACGGCGAAAGCAGCUACGUGCUGGGCCGACACUGACACUGAGAGACGAAAGCUAGGGGAGCAAAUGGG